AUGCUUGCUUCAGCAGCAUAUAUACUAAUGUGGGAAUGAUACAGAGAAGGUACCAUGAUCAUAGCACAAGGAUGUCACACAAAUGUUCUUAGGCGUUAUAUAUAUUU